CAGAAUUCGCCCUUAGAGUUUGAUCAUGGCUCAGAUUGAACGCUGGCGGCAUGCCUAACACAUGCAAGUCGAACGGCAGCACAGAGGAGCUUGCUCCUUGGGUGGCGAGUGGCGGACGGGUGAGUAAUGCAUCGGGAUCUACCCUGACGUGGGGGAUAACCUCGGGAAACCGGGACUAAUACCGCAUACGUCCUACGGGAGAAAGCGGGGGACCUUUUAGGCCUCGCGCGGCAGGACGAACCGAUGUGCGAUUAGCUAGUUGGCGGGGUAAUGGCCCACCAAGGCGACGAUCGCUAGCUGGUCUGAGAGGAUGAUCAGCCACACUGGGACUGAGACACGGCCCAGACUCCUACGGGAGGCAGCAGUGGGGAAUAUUGGACAAUGGGCGCAAGCCUGAUCCAGCAAUGCCGCGUGUGUGAAGAAGGCCUUCGGGUUGUAAAGCACUUUUAUCAGGAGCGAAAUCUGCAUGCUUAAUACGUGUGCAGUCUGACGGUACCUGAGGAAUAAGCACCGGCUGACUUCGUGCCAGCAGCCGCGGUAAUACGUAGGGUGCGAGCGUUAAUCGGAAUUACUGGGCGUAAAGGGUGCGCAGGCGGCCUUGUAAGUCAGAUGUGAAAGCCCCGGGCUUAACCUGGGAAUUGCGUUUGAAACUACAAAGCUAGAGUGCAGCAGAGGGGAGUGGAAUUCCAUGUGUAGCAGUGAAAUGCGUAGAGAUGUGGAAGAACACCGAUGGCGAAGGCAGCUCCCUGGGUUGACACUGACGCUCAUGCACGAAAGCGUGGGGAGCAAACAGGAUUAGAUACCCUGGUAGUCCACGCCCUAAACUAUGUCAACUAGUUGUCGGAUCUAAUUAAGGAUUUGGUAACGUAGCUACGCGUGAAGUUGACCGCCUGGGGAGUACGAUCGCAAGAUUAAAACUCAAAGGAAUUGACGGGGACCCGCACAAGCGGU
rnacentral:rRNA from 1 species